UACGUAGGUGGCAAGCGUUGUCCGGAUUUACUGGGCGUAAAGGGCGCGCAGGCGGUCUGGCAAGUUUGGAGUGACAGUGCUCGGCUUAACUGAGCAAGGCCUUCGAAAACUGCUAGACUUGAGCACUCAAGAGGGACAUAGAAUUCCGGGUGGAGUGGUGAAAUGCGUAGAUAUCCGGAGGAAUACCAAAGGCGAAGGCAGUGUCCUGGGGAGUGUCUGACGCUCAGGCGCGAAAGCUAGGGGAGCGAACAGG
rnacentral:rRNA from 1 species